rnacentral:ncRNA from 1 species
AGCGGGAACGAGGUGCAACUCCUCGACAGUCCCUUUCUACUGUAACACGGACGAACGCUCACCACUCACUGGGUAUAAGCUUGGGAAGAGGAGCAAGUAGGAGGAAGUGAAGUCAGGAUACCG